rnacentral:rRNA from 1 species
AUUGAACGCUGGCGGCAUGCCUUACACAUGCAAGUCGAACGGCAGCACGGGAGCAAUCCUGGUGGCGAGUGGCGAACGGGUGAGUAAUAUAUCGGAACGUGCCCAGUCGUGGGGGAUAACGUAGCGAAAGCUACGCUAAUACCGCAUACGAUCUACGGAUGAAAGCGGGGGAUCGCAAGACCUCGCGCGAUUGGAGCGGCCGAUAUCAGAUUAGCUAGUUGGUGGGGUAAAAGCUCACCAAGGCGACGAUCUGUAGCUGGUCUGAGAGGACGACCAGCCACACUGGAACUGAGACACGGUCCAGACUCCUACGGGAGGCAGCAGUGGGGAAUUUUGGACAAUGGGCGCAAGCCUGAUCCAGCAAUGCCGCGUGGCAGGAUGAAGGCCUCGGUUGUAAACUGCUUUUGUAACGGUACGAAACGGUAGGAGCGUCUAAUAAAGACUUGCUAAUGACGGUACCGUUAAGAAUAAGACACCGGCUAACU